ACCUGUCAAGGAAAAGAAAGAACAACCUAUCAAGAAAAGGAAUUCAAAAAGAGAGAGCUACUCUUAGGAAAUGCAUUUCAAAACUUUUUACAAAAGUGCUCCAUCAUUAAAGAAAUAAUAGAAAAACUUGAAUUGACUUGUUACAAGAGGUGCGGCGCAGGAAUCAUAAUAGGAAUACUUCCGAUAUUGCUGUU